UAACCAAUCAAUCCCUAAAAUCACAUCAAAUGCAAGUAUUUUCAACGAAAUAAGAUCGGCAGGUAAUGUGAUGGUUCCAACUUGAAUCAAGCAAGAUUUAUAAACAGUAGAUGUAAUGAAAGUGUCUCCUAACGGAGUCUCAACAUAUAAGUCAAGGUCUAAUUUCUCCGGAGUCAAGUUCAAACGUUGAACACAAGCAAGAGAGAUAAAAGAAUGGGUAGAACCGGUAUCUAAUAAGGUAUAAACUUCGCAAGAGUUUAUGAUUAGCUUACCUGUGAUCACCUCGUUCGGGUUCCUCGCGUUUUGGGUAGUCACGACAAACACCCUUCCAGGAACCACCGACUUUGACUUGUCCGAGACUGUGACGCUGCCAAAAUUAG
rnacentral:lncRNA from 1 species